UACGUAGGGUGCAAGCGUUAAUCGGAAUUACUGGGCGUAAAGCGUGCGCAGGCGGUUUUGUAAGCCUGUCGUGAAACCUCCGGGCUACCAGCUGGGAAUUGCGAUGGAGACUGCAAGGCUUGAAUCUGGCAGAGGGGGGUAGAAUUCCACGUGUAGCAGUGAAAUGUGUAGAGAUGUGGAGGAACACCGAUGGCGAAGGCAGCCCCCUGGGUCAAGAUUGACGCUCAUGCACGAAAGCGUGGGGAGCAAACAGG
rnacentral:rRNA from 1 species